rnacentral:rRNA from 1 species
CCUACGGGAGGCAGCAGUGAGGAAUAUUGGUCAAUGGGCGUAAGCCUGAACCAGCCAAGCCGCGUGAGGGAUGAAGGUUCAAUGGAUCGUAAACCUCUUUUAUAAGGGAAUAAAGUGUGGGACGAGUCCUAUGAUGUAGGUACCUGAUGAAUAAGCAUCGGCUAACUCCGUGCCAGCAGCCGCGGUAAUACGGAGGAUCCGAGCGUUAUCCGGAUUUAUUGGGUUUAAAGGGUGCGUAGGCGGCCUUUUAAGUCAGCGGUGAAAGGCUGUGGCUCAACCAUAGAAUUGCCGUUGAAACUGGGGGGCUUGAGUUUGUUAGAGGCAGGCGGAAUGCGUGGUGUAGCGGUGAAAUGCUUAGAUAUCACGCAGAACCCCGAUUGCGAAGGCAGCGUGCC